AUGACGGCGUCUGCAUCACAAUCGCCGGUGAGGUGGUGGCGCACGGCGUUUCUGACCGUCAGAGACGAAUCCCUCACAACUCCUCCUCGCACUCCAAUCCCUGACCUCCUCCACAACUUCAUCUUCUCCCACUCCCACACUCUCCUCUCCGCCGCGCCCGACCUCCCUCCGCCGGAGGUGACGUCAGAUUUGCUGUUCGUGAUGGAAUUGGUCACCAACAAGCCUCACGGCGCCGGAGACUUGACCUCAACCUUCGCACACACAAGUCACCUGAUCCAUGACGUCAGCCAUCGUCUUCCGCUUGAGUUCAGUUCAGCUUCGUGGACUAUCAUGCUCGACGGUUUCGGCAAGAUGCUUCAAUUUUUCAUUGCUUCUUCGUCAUUUACGCCGAUCAUGGAAUGCUUACAGACUCUGAGGCGUGUGAUGAGUACCUACCAGAGGAAGUGUUCUACGGCUGAUGAGAUUCAGCUGGUGAAGUUCCUUCUGCGCUUAAUCGAGAGCUGCCAUUCGGAGUUAAGCAGCUCGUCGCAUUCGUUACGCAACCAGAGCUCUGCUUCUGAAGUUGGAAAGAGAAAGCCAAUGCCGCAAUAUGGCAGCUUAUGGGAAGUGCAGACCCUUGCAUUCAAUGUGCUUGGAGAAACAAUCUCUAGGGCCGGCUCGUUGUUUCCUGUAGAUAUCUGGAAAUCAUCUAUUGAGGUUUUUAGGAAAGUGAUGGAUGUAUUGGCAGCUAAAAGCCAGCUUGUAGAAGAUACUGUAAUGUCGAGGUUUUAUUUAUCUCUCCUGAAUUGUCUACACUCGACUCUCGCAGAUCGUAAGUGUUCCCUCUCUGACCAUGUGUCAGGUUUUGUAGCUGCUUUGCGAAUGUUCCUCUCCUAUGGUGUCAGUAGUAGAAGCCAGCUUAGCAGGCCGAUUACUGGUCAAAAGGAGAGUGAACUUAGUGUAGUGAGCCUUAAGGCUGGUUUGGAAGAUCCUAAAAAGACAGAUCGUAGUCCAUAUAGACCUCCACACCUACGCAAAAGGGACAGUUCAAAGCAGAUUGGAGCUCGAAAUUCUCAAGGUUUAUCAGAUCAGGAAUCUUCCACACUUGACUUCACCUCAUCAGAUUCAGAUUACAGUGACAGUGAUGGAUCACUUAAAGACACUGAGAGCAAUCAGAAAUCGAAGGUCAGAGUAGCUGCUAUUGUUUGUAUACAGGAUCUCUGUCAAGCUGAUUCAAAAUCAUUUAGUAGCCAAUGGACACUGCUUCUGCCAACCAGUGAUGUACUACAACCUAGGAAGUUUGAAGCAACACUAAUGACUUGUUUGCUGUUUGAUCCCUAUUUAAAGGCACGGGUUGCAUCAGCCUCAACUCUGGAAGCAAUGUUGGAUGGGCCUUCUUCUGUUAUACUGCAGGUAGCUGAGUUCAGAGAGUCUUCUAAACGGGGAUCAUUUACAGCACUUUCAAGUUCCCUUGGACAUAUACUAAUGCAGCUUCAUACAGGUAUUUUAUACUUAAUUCAGCGAGAAACUCAUAAUCGAUUACUGGCAUCCUUGUUCAAGAUUCUCAUGCUUUUGAUAUCAUCUACACCGUAUACAGUCAAUAAGUCCAAUGGUGAUGCUGCAUUGCUAUACACAAGGAUGCCUGGAGAACUGUUGCCAACAGUUUUUACAUCUCUACAAGAAAGGAUACAAAAUGGGUUUCAAUAUAAAAGUGAUCAGACUGGCCUGCUGGCUGCUUCUUUUAGUUGCUUGACAACAGCUCUGAAUACCUCACCAUCUUCACCACAAAUUAAAGAAAUGCUUCAGAGAGAGAUAUUUAAUGGUUUUGCUGAGGCCAAAAAGAAGUCGGGUGUUCUUUCUACAUUGUUUCAAUUUUCAGAACAAGUUAGCAACCCACCGAUAUGCUUUGAGGCUCUUCAGGUAAUACUGUAACUAGCACUUAGGGCUGUGUCACACAAUUAUCCAAGUAUAAUGUUUUCCUGUUGGGAACAAAUAUCCACCACCGUUUAUCACCUUUUGAGGGCAUCUACUCCUGAAGUUCCUGUAGGACAAUGGAAAGGGCAUACUGGAAAUUCUGUUGGAUUUAUUGGCGAAAAAAUCAUUACAGCUGCUAUAAGAGUUUUGGAUGAAUCUCUUCGUGCAAUAUCUGGAUUUAAAGGAACUGAAGACCCUUUAGAUGAUAAACUACUUGAUGCCCCAUUUACAUCUGACUGCAUAAGGAUGAAGAAAGUUUCGUCAGCUCCUUCAUAUGAACUUGAGAAUUUUGAAAAUACUAGAGAUGAACUCACAUCAUGUCAGUCUGGAAUUGAGCAGUGGUGUGAGGCAAUUGAGAAGCAUAUGCCUUUAAUUCUACAACAUACUUCUGCAAUGGUGAGAGCUGCCUCAGUUACCUGUUUUGCGGGUAUAACUUCUUCUGUGUUCUGUACACUCUCAAAGGAAAAACAGGAGUUCAUUCUUUCGUCUAUUGUUCGUGCUGCCGUACACGGUGAUGUACCUUCGGUUAGGGCAGCUGCUUGUCGAGCUAUUGGUGUCAUUUCAUGUUUUCCUCAGGUUUCUCAAAGUGCAGAGAUCCUUGAUAAGUUUGUUCAUGCUGUGGAGAGUAACACUCGUGAUCCUUUGGUCUCGGUCCGAAUAACUGCUUCUUGGGCUUUGGCAAACAUAUGUGAUUCUGUCCAUCAUUGUAUUGAUGAUUUUAGCUUGGAAAACACUGGAGGCUCUCUUAAAAUUUCUCAAUUGUUUACCUUAUUAAGUGAGUGCGCUUUGCGUCUGACUAAAGAUGGAGACAAGAUUAAAUCAAAUGCUGUAAGAGCUCUAGGGAAUCUUGCAAGAUCUGUCAAAUGCACAAUUGAAUUUGAGACGACAGGGGAUUCUGGGAAAGGUUGUCGAAGAGAUGUAUCAAUAUCAUACCAUCCAGCUUCUUUGAGAGAUUCGCGUUGGCUUGAGAAGGUUGUUCAGGCAUUUAUUUCAUGUGUUACGACUGGUAAUGUCAAGGUCCAAUGGAAUGUUUGUCAUGCUUUGAGCAACCUAUUUCUGAACGAGACAUUAAGACUGCAAGACAUGGAUUGGGCUCCAUCUGUGUAUAGUAUUCUUCUACUACUAUUACGUGAUUCUUCCAACUUUAAGAUCAGGAUUCAAGCUGCUGCUGCUCUGGCUGUUCCAGCAUCGGUUCAUGAUUAUGGGGAAUCUUUCUCAGAUGUCAUCCAGGGUCUGGAGCAUAUAUUAGAGAAUCAAGGUUCAAACCAGAUUGCAUCACCAUCAAAUUUCAAAUAUAGGGUAGCUCUUGAAAAGCAGUUAACCUCAACGAUAUUGCAUGUUCUUAUCCUCGCUUCAAGCUCUGAUCAUGAACUGGUGAAAGAUUUUCUUGUAAAAAAAGCCUCAUUCUUUGAAGACUGGUUCAAGACACUGUGCUCAUCGUUAGGAGAGUCAAGUAGUCAACCAGAACUUGAAAAUAAGAAGUCCCUUGAGAACCCGAAGAAAGGAAUGAUAUGCAAUGCAAUUCGGUCACUAGUUCAGCUGUACAAUGGCCAGAAGCAUCUUGCAAUUGCUGAGAAAUUUGAGAAGUUAGAGAACAGUAUACAAUAAGUUCUCCUAAUCUCCCUCGACGAACUUGUAUGCUAUAUGUGGGUACAACCCCAUGACCAAGUCCCUUGCAUAGUCACCUAAUAUGCAAGAAAUACUGCUUUUCUGAAGACAUAGUAUGCGGGGUGGUUCUCGACAUACUGGGCUCCUUUUUUCCAUUACAACACAUGGUGAGCUCUGAGCAUGAUCAUAUGCCUACUUUUUUUGUUCUUUUGCGCCCUGUUUUAGGGUAUCUGGAGGGGGUUUGGUUAGAAAUGAGGAUCUAAAUGGCCAAAUGGGUCAGUGUUGUUGUAUUACUGUGCAUGUAUAAUAGUAGAUUACAGGGAACUUUUAUGUGAUUUGUAACCUUACUGUAUAAUGUGUAUGGAUUAACUAAUUACAAAAGGUUUUUCUUC